rnacentral:rRNA from 1 species
GUACGGGGGGGGCAAGCGUUGUUCGGAAUUACUGGGCGUAAAGGGCUCGUAGGCGGCCAACUAAGUCGGAUGUGAAAUCCCCAGGCUUAACCUGGGAAUUGCAUCCGAUACUGGAUGGCUUGAAUCCGGGAGAGGGAUGCGGAAUUCCAGGUGUAGCGGUGAAAUGCGUAGAUAUCUGGAGGAACACCGGUGGCGAAGGCGGCAUCCUGGACCGGCAUUGACGCUGAGGAGCGAAAGCCAGGGGAGCAAACGGG